AACCCAUGUUGAGGCCAUUUCCGUAGGAGCUCCUUGAACCUGUCCUAUGUAUCAAAAAGAGACUCCAAUUCCGUCUGCACAAAAAAUGAUAUCUCAUUCCUGAGAUU